UACGGAGGAUCCAAGCGUUAUUCGGAAUCAUUGGGCGUAAAGGGUCCGUAGGCGGUCUAGCAAGUCAGUGGUGAAAUCUCCCCGCUCAACGGGGAAACGGCCAUUGAUACUACUAGACUUGAAUUAUUAGGAAGUAACUAGAAUAUGUAGUGUAGCGGUGAAAUGCUUAGAUAUUACAUGGAAGACCAAUUGCGAAGGCAGGUUACUGCUAAUGGAUUGACACUGAUGGACGAAAGCGUGGGGAGCGAACAGG
rnacentral:rRNA from 1 species